rnacentral:tRNA from 1 species
GGCGCUCAGUUGGUUGAGCAUCUGACUUUAGCUCAGGUCAGGAUCUUGCGGUUCAUGGGUUCAAGCCCCAUGUCA